GAUGAACGCUGGCGGCGUGCCUAAUACAUGCCAGUCGAGCGAACAGAUGAUGAGCUUGCUCCUCUGACGUUAGCGGCGGACGGGUGAGUAACACGUGUAUAACCUACCUAUAAGACUGGGAUAACUUCGGGAAACCGGAUCUAAUACCGGAUGAUAUAUUGAACCGCAUGGUUCAAUAGUAAAAGACGGUUUUGCUGUCACUUAUCGAUGGAUCCGCGCUGCAUUAGCUAGUUGGUAAGGUAACGGCUUACCAAGGCAACGAUGCGUAGCCGACCUGAGAGGGUGAUCGGCCACCCUGGAACGGAGACACGGACCAGACUACUACGGGAGGCAGCAGUAGGGAAUCUUCCGCAAUGGGCGAAAGCAUGACGGAGCAACGCCGCGUGAGUGAUGAAGGUCUUCGGAUCGUAAAACUCUGUUAUUGGGGAAGAACAAAUGUGUAAGUAAAUAUGCACGUCUUGACGGUAACUAAUCAGAAAGCAACGGCUAACUACGUG
rnacentral:rRNA from 1 species